UCCUGGCUCAGAUUGAACGCUGCGGCAUGCCUUACACAUGCAAGUCGAACGGCAGCACGGAGCUUGCUCUGGUGGCGAGUGGCGAACGGGUGAGUAAUAUAUCGGAACGUACCCUAGAGUGGGGGAUAACGUAGCGAAAGUUACGCUAAUACCGCAUACGAUCUAAGGAUGAAAUGGGGGAUCGCAAGACCUCAUGCUCGUGGAGCGGCCGAUAUCUGAUUAGCUAGUUGGUAGGGUAAAAGCCUACCAAGGCAUCGAUCAGUAGCUGGUCUGAGAGGACGACCAGCCACACUGGAACUGAGACACGGUCCAGACUCCUACGGGAGGCAGCAGUGGGGAAUUUUGGACAAUGGGCGAAAGCCUGAUCCAGCAAUGCCGCGUGAGUGAAGAAGGCCUUCGGGUUGUAAAGCUCUUUUGUCAGGGAAGAAACGGUGAAAGCUAAUACCUUUUGCUAAUGACGGUACCUGAAGAAUAAGCACCGGCUAACUACGUG
rnacentral:rRNA from 1 species